UACGGGGGGGGCAAGCGUUGUUCGGAAUUACUGGGCGUAAAGGGCGCGUAGGCGGCCCUCUAAGUCAGACGUGAAAUCCCUCGGCUUAACCGGGGAACUGCGUCUGAUACUGGAUGGCUUGAGGUUGGGAGAGGGAUGCGGAAUUCCAGGUGUAGCGGUGAAAUGCGUAGAUAUCUGGAGGAACACCGGUGGCGAAGGCGGCAUCCUGGACCAAUUCUGACGCUGAGGAGCGAAAGCCAGGGGAGCAAACGGG
rnacentral:rRNA from 1 species